GACGAACGCUGGCGGCGUGCUUAACACAUGCAAGUCGAACGGAAAGGCCUGCUUUCCCUUGUGGAUUGCGGGUACUCGAGUGGCGAACGGGUGAGUAACACGUGAGUGAUCUGCCCCCAACUUGGGUAUAAGCCUGGGAAACUGGGUCUAAUUCCCGAUAGGACUGCAGGGUGGUGCCUGUGGUGGAAAACGAUUUUCUAGUGGUUGGGGAUGAGCUCGCGGCCUAUCAGCUUGUUGGUGGGGUAAUGGCCUACCAAGGCGGCGACGGGUAGCCGGCCUGAGAGGGUGGACGGCCACAUUGGGACUGAGAUACGGCCCAGACUCCUACGGGAGGCAGCAGUGGGGAAUAUUGCACAAUGGGCGGAAGCCUGAUGCAGCGACGCCGCGUGGGGGAUGACGGCCCUCGGGUUGUAAACUCCUUUCGACCGCGAGGAAGCCACCUGGUUGGAAGGGUGGUGACGGUAGCGGUAGAAGAAGCACCGGCUAACUACGUG
rnacentral:rRNA from 1 species